GCGAGUUGCAAGACUCCCUAAACCAUUGUGAACCUACCUGUACCGUUCCUUCGGCGGGCGGCCUACGCCCUAACCUGCCGCCCCUUCGCGGGCUGGCGGACCCGCCGGAGGCCCCUAAACCCUUAACUUCUUUGGCACUUCUGAGUACAACUUUUAAUAAGUCA
rnacentral:misc_RNA from 1 species